AAUCCAUAGGUUAAUGAGGCGAACCGGGGGAACUGAAACAUCUAAGUACCCCGAGGAAAAGAAAUCAACCGAGAUUCCCCCAGUAGCGGCGAGCGAACGGGGAGGAGCCCAGAGCCUGAAUCAGCAUGUGUGUUAGUGGAAGCGUCUGGAAAGGCGCGCGAUACAGGGUGACAGCCCCGUACACAAAAGCGCAUGUGCUGUGAGCUCGAUGAGUAGGGCGGGACACGUGGUAUCCUGUCUGAAUAUGGGGGGACCAUCCUCCAAGGCUAAAUACUCCUGACUGACCGAUAGUGAACCAGUACCGUGAGGGAAAGGCGAAAAGAACCCCGGCGAGGGGAGUGAAAAAGAACCUGAAACCGUGUACGUACAAGCAGUGGGAGCACAGGUUUACCUGUGUGACUGCGUACCUUUUGUAUAAUGGGUCAGCGACUUAUAUUCUGUAGCAAGGUUAACCGUAUAGGGGAGCCGUAGGGAAACCGAGUCUUAAUUGGGCGUUAAGUUGCAGGGUAUAGACCCGAAACCCGGUGAUCUAGCCAUGGGCAGGUUGAAGGUUGGGUAACACUAACUGGAGGACCGAACCGACUAAUGUUGAAAAAUUAGCGGAUGACCUGUGGCUGGGGGUGAAAGGCCAAUCAAACCGGGAGAUAGCUGGUUCUCCCCGAAAGCUAUUUAGGUAGCGCCUCGUGAAUUCAUCUCCGGGGGUAGAGCACUGUUUCGGCUAGGGGGCCAUCCCGGCUUACCAACCCGAUGCAAACUGCGAAUACCGGAGAAUGUUAUCACGGGAGACACACGGCGGGUGCUAACGUCCGUCGUGAAGAGGGAAACAACCCAGACCGCCAGCUAAGGUCCCAAAGUCAUGGUUAAGUGGGAAACGAUGUGGGAAGGCCCAGACAGCCAGGAUGUUGGCUUAGAAGCAGCCAUCAUUUAAAGAAAGCGUAAUAGCUCACUGGUCGAGUCGGCCUGCGCGGAAGAUGUAACGGGGCUAAACCAUGCACCGAAGCUGCGGCAGCGACACUGUGUGUUGUUGGGUAGGGGAGCGUUCUGUAAGCCUGUGAAGGUGGCCUGUGAGGG
rnacentral:rRNA from 1 species